GUGGGUGCAGUAAGGUGACAGGUUACUGGUGCGUGCCUAGUACCGCCGGUAAAACGAGGAUCAAGCCUCCACCUCACCCAUCACCCUCCGCGUGCCGUGGAUUAAGGCCAACCUUAACGUGUGCAUAUCUGGUGAGCUCUGGGACCACCCUGCCCUCCCUCACCCACAGGGAUGAGCUUAUCAAGGAGUGGGCGAAACCCUCCACACUCUGACCUGUGUGUUGGCCCGCCAUGUGUACGCCCUCGGCCUCAGCAGUCUGCCGCUGGAGCGCGUCGGUGAACGGCGACUCGUCAGGAGGGGCUUCACCAAGCG